CCAACAACACAAGCAAACAAGCACAAGCACAAAGAACAAGCACAACAUCCCACCCAUAAAUAAUCUCCAGACCUCACUGAUCAUCAUAAAAAGAUGGCAAACAUGGACAAGUAGACCAUAAGAAACUCAAAACAAACCACCAUCCUUACUUUCCUUUCACUUCUUCACCCUCAUUUUCUUUAAUUAAUUCCUCUCUUCUUCUUCUUCUUCUUCUUCAAACUCCUGCCAAUUUUCAAGUAGUUGGUAGUUUCCAUGCAUGCCAAUGCCUAACCUCUCAACAUCAUUCAUUCAUUCAUCCUAAACCUUAACUUCUCUAAAUCUAAAUGUCUCCUCUUCUCCUUUCCUUCCUUCUUCUUCUUCUCCUCUCUUCUGAAGCUAGAUUUCUACAACCACAGGGAGGAGAGAAGAUGAUGAUGGUGAUGAUGAAGAAGAGAUCAAUGAUAGGGUCAAGGCCACCAAGUUGUGAGAAGAGAUCAUCAACAUGCAUGGCAUGCAAACAAUGUGAAGCUAUACAAGUGCCUGUAGUGCCACAAGAUCACAAGAGGAGUACAAAAACCACACAAUCUCUCAAAGCAGUUGUAUUCAUUUCAGGCUCAUUAGAGAGAGAUAACAGCAACUACAAACCCAUGAACUGGAAAUGCAAGUGUGGAAACAUGAUCUUCAAUCCAUGACCAACUUGUAUUUUUAGUUAUUACUACACUCUUUUUU